rnacentral:rRNA from 1 species
AUGGAUCAUGGGAGCUUAAAUGUGGGUAGUUGGGUAGUUGUGGGGAAGAGUAAAUUGGAGCUUGGCUUCUGUUACGGUCCUGGUAUGAAUGCUCUUGUUUACUGCAGUCUAAGGCCUUGCAACCCUCGGUAUGCGCACCCAGGCCACUGUACACCCAGCAUCAGAUAUGUACAUAAGUGCAGUAUGUCAAGUCUUGGCUUUAUGAUCUUAACUCAAGCUAGAAAGUACACCAACAGAGUAAACAUGUAUGGUCCCAUGGAGAUCUGCGGUCCAUGUUUUGGUUUGACCGUAGCCAAAACCUUUGGAGCCACUGGCAUAGCUACGCUCACUGGCAGGUGGGUCCUGCCGCAAAGAAACACAAGUUAG